UUAAAGCAUUUCGCUUACACCGAAAAAAUAUCCGUGAAAACCUGAUCGUUUCG
rnacentral:tRNA from 1 species